UACGUAGGGUGCGAGCGUUGUCCGGAAUUAUUGGGCGUAAAGGGCUCGUAGGCGGUCUGUUGCGUCAGGAGUGAAAACUCGGGGCUUAACCCCGAGCCUGCUUCUGAUACGGGCAGACUAGAGGUAUGCAGGGGAGAACGGAAUUCCUGGUGUAGCGGUGAAAUGCGCAGAUAUCAGGAGGAACACCGGUGGCGAAGGCGGAUCUCUGGGCCUUACCUGACGCUGAGGCGCGAAAGCUAGGGGAGCGAACAGG
rnacentral:rRNA from 1 species